CCUACGGGAGGCAGCAGUGGGGAAUUUUGGACAAUGGGCGAAAGCCUGAUCCAGCAAUGCCGCGUGCAGGAAGAAGGCCUUCGGGUUGUAAACUGCUUUUGUACGGAACGAAACGGUCUGCUUUAAUACAGUGGGCUAAUGACGGUACCGUAAGAAUAAGCACCGGCUAACUACGUGCCAGCAGCCGCGGUAAUACGUAGGGUGCGAGCGUUAAUCGGAAUUACUGGGCGUAAAGCGUGCGCAGGCGGUUAUAUAAGACAGUUGUGAAAUCCCCGGGCUCAACCUGGGAAUUGCAUCUGUGACUGUAUAGCUAGAGUACGGUAGAGGGGGAUGGAAUUCCGCGUGUAGCAGUGAAAUGCGUAGAUAUGCGGAGGAACACCGAUGGCGAAGGCAAUCCCCUGGACCUGUACUGACGCUCAUGCACGAAAGCGUGGGGAGCAAACAGGAUUAGAUACCCUGGUAGUCCACGCCCUAAACGAUGUCAACUGGUUGUUGGGUGCAUUAGUACUCAGUAACGAAGCUAACGCGUGAAGUUGACCGCCUGGGGAGUACGGCCGCAAGGUUGAAACUUAAAGGAAUUGACGG
rnacentral:rRNA from 1 species